rnacentral:rRNA from 1 species
CAUGCAGUCGAGCGAAUGGAUUAAGAGCUUGCUCUUAUGAAGUUAGCGGCGGACGGGUGAGUAACACGUGGGUAACCUGCCCAUAAGACUGGGAUAACUCCGGGAAACCGGGGCUAAUACCGGAUAAUAUUUUGAACUGCAUGGUUCGAAAUUGAAAGGCGGCUUCGGCUGUCACUUAUGGAUGGACCCGCGUCGCAUUAGCUAGUUGGUGAGGUAACGGCUCACCAAGGCAACGAUGCGUAGCCGACCUGAGAGGGUGAUCGGCCACACUGGGACUGAGACACGGCCCAGACUCCUACGGGAGGCAGCAGUAGGGAAUCUUCCGCAAUGGACGAAAGUCUGACGGAGCAACGCCGCGUGAGUGAUGAAGGCUUUCGGGUCGUAAAACUCUGUUGUUAGGGAAGAACAAGUGCUAGUUGAAUAAGCUGGCACCUUGACGGUACCUAACCAGAAAGCCACGGCUAACUACGUGCCAGCAGCCGCGGUAAUACGUAGGUGGCAAGCGUUAUCCGGAAUUAUUGGGCGUAAAGCGCGCGCAGGUGGUUUCUUAAGUCUGAUGUGAAAGCCCACGGCUCAACCGUGGAGGGUCAUUGGAAACUGGGAGACUUGAGUGCAGAAGAGGAAAGUGGAAUUCCAUGUGUAGCGGUGAAAUGCGUAGAGAUAUGGAGGAACACCAGUGGCGAAGGCGACUUUCUGGUCUGUAACCUAC